CCCUACGGGGGGCAGCAGUAGGGAAUCUUCCACAAUGGGCGAAAGCCUGAUGGAGCAACGCCGCGGGGGUGAAGAAGGUCUUCGGAUCGUAAAACCCUGUUGUUAGAGAAGAAAGUGCGUGAGAGUAACUGUUCACGUUUCGACGGUAUCUAACCAGAAAGCCACGGCUAACUACGUGCCAGCAGCCGCGGUAAUACGUAGGUGGCAAGCGUUAUCCGGAGUUAUUGGGAGUAGAGGGAACGCAGGCGGUCUUUUAAGUCUGAUGUGAAAGCCUUCGGCUUAACCGGAGUAGUGCAUUGGAAACG
rnacentral:rRNA from 1 species